rnacentral:rRNA from 1 species
GACGAACGCUGGCGGCGUGCUUAACACAUGCCAGUCGAACGGAAAGGCCCUGCUUUUGUGGGGUGCUCGAGUGGCGAACGGGUGAGUAACACGUGAGUAACCUACCCUUGACUUUGGGAUAACUUCAGGAAACUGGGGCUAAUACCGGAUAGGAGCUCCUGCUGCAUGGUGGGGGUUGGAAAGUUUCGGCGGUUGGGGAUGGACUCGCGGCUUAUCAGCUUGUUGGUGGGGUAGUGGCUUACCAAGGCUUUGACGGGUAGCCGGCCUGAGAGGGUGACCGGCCACAUUGGGACUGAGAUACGGCCCAGACUCCUACGGGAGGCAGCAGUGGGGAAUAUUGCACAAUGGGCGGAAGCCUGAUGCAGCAACGCCGCGUGCGGGAUGACGGCCUUCGGGUUGUAAACCGCUUUCGCCUGUGACGAAGCGUGAGUGACGGUAAUGGGUAAAGAAGCACCGGCUAACUACGUG